rnacentral:rRNA from 1 species
UACGGGGGGAGCAAGCGUUGUUCGGAUUUACUGGGCGUAAAGGGCGCGUAGGCGGUCAGCACAAGUCAGUUGUGAAAUCUCCGGGCUUAACUCGGAAAGGUCAACUGAUACUGUGCGACUAGAGUUCGGUAGGGGAGACUGGAAUUCCUGGUGUAGCGGUGAAAUGCGCAGAUAUCAGGAGGAACACCGGUGGCGAAGGCGGGUCUCUGGGCCGAAACUGACGCCGAGGAGCGAAAGCGUGGGGAGCAAACAGG